CACAUGCUAGGUAAAUUCUCCUGCCUCGACUGAAAGGAAUGGAGGCAGUGGGAGGGGGGCAGAGGAGGCAAAAGGGCACCUCAGAGGGACAAGCCGCCCCAGCCAAAGGCUCAGUGGCCACCUGCCUGUGGCUCCUGCCUGCCUGUGUUUCGUUUCUGCCCUGGAGACUCUUGGCUGGGAGUUCAAAAGGGUAGGUUGGCUGGUUUCAGAUGGUGAAGAGAAUCAAAUCUGGGCAGAGUGCAAUUUCCAGUCCCUGGAAAUGGAAAUGGGAAGGCGGAAUGAAGUUAAGGCCCAGCAGGAGAGCGGACACAGAAAACCUUUCAUGACAGAGCCCUAGGCCCAGCCUCCUUUGGCCACCAGCUGCAGCUUGUCCUGGGACCUUGUGGUGAAGGGCAGCUUCCCGGAGGCAGUUUGGCUGGCCACGCGUGGAAACAGGAUGGGGGACUAGAUGCGAGACAAGUGGCUUACCCAAGGCCUCAAAGCCAAAUAGAGGGAAGAGCCAGAAACGUGACCCCUGCCAAACCAAUUCUCCUUCAGUUCAUUUAUCCCCAGUCACAAAGUUCCUCUCUUGCCUACAGGAAAGAAAAGCCCAUUGCUCUCUCUCUUGCGUCUAGCAGGGACAGGGUGCUCAGA